rnacentral:rRNA from 1 species
AUUGAACGCUGGCGGCAGGCUUAACACAUGCAAGUCGAGCGGGGUGAUGGUGCUUGCACUAUCACCUAGCGGCGGACGGGUGAGUAAUGCUUAGGAAUCUGCCUAUUAGUGGGGGACAACAUCUCGAAAGGGAUGCUAAUACCGCAUACGUCCUACGGGAGAAAGCAGGGGAUCACUUGUGACCUUGUGCUAAUAGAUGAGCCUAAGUCGGAUUAGCUAGUUGGUGGGGUAAAGGCCUACCAAGGCGACGAUCUGUAGCGGGUCUGAGAGGAUGAUCCGCCACACUGGCACGGCGAAACGGCCCAGACUCCUACGGGAGGCAGCAGUGGGGAAUAUUGGACAAUGGGGGGAACCCUGAUCCAGCCAUGCCGCGUGUGUGAAGAAGGCCUUAUGGUUGUAAAGCACUUUAAGCGAGGAGGAGGCUUACCUAGUUAAUACCUGGGAUAAGUGGACGUUACUCGCAGAAUAAGCACCGGCUAACUCUGUGCCAGCAGCCGCCGUAA